UUGAAUUUUACGGUCAGAAUUCCAUGUUGGAGAGAAUUUACCCCUCUAUAAUUCUCAUUUGAAACUCUUCAUGGGGAAGCUCCGCUCAUAAUGGUCGAGACCAUUUGUGAUUUUUAAUGAUUACGCAAGUGGUGUCGUUGAAUUGGAAGAUAAUGAUGGGAAGAAAUUUAUAGUCAGUGCUCAAUGGAUGAAUCACUACAAUGAGAAAAUCCCCAUGGUGACCAAGGUGGAGUGUGUUAAAUUCAAAGAUGCUUUGUGGUGAAAGGGGACAGUCGUGCCACAACGUUAGAUUAGGUGCUUAAUGGGAGGCAACUCAUCUUUGA
rnacentral:lncRNA from 1 species